rnacentral:misc_RNA from 1 species
GAUGAAGAACGUAGCGAAAUGCGAUAAGUAAUGUGAAUUGCAGAAUUCAGUGAAUCAUCGAAUCUUUGAACGCACAUUGCGCCCGUCAGUAUUCUGGCGGGCAUGCCUGUUCGAGCGUCAUUACGCCCCUCAAGUCCCCUGUGGACUUGGUGUUGGGGAUCGGCGAGGCUGGUUUUCCAGCACAGCCGUCCCUUAAAUUAAUUGGCGGUCUCGCCGUGGCCCUCCUCUGCGCAGUAGUAAAACACUCGCAACAGGAGCCCGGCGCGGUCCACUGCCGUAAAACCCCCCAACUUUUUAUAGUUGACCUCGAAUCAGGUAGGACUUCCCGCUGAACUUAAGCAUAUCAAUAAGCGGAGGA